UCUAAAAAAAAUCAUAUCUUUCCUGUGUUGCCGUUUCCGUCUCUUCCUUCAACUCGCUUUGAUUUGAUUAUCAUUGAUCCUCAGAGUGCCGGGGAAUGAUGCUGCAACCUACCUCAUCAGCUGCGAUCAGGCAAUGGGAGGAGGAAAAGAAAUAAAGUGCACGACUAAGGUAUCUUUGGAAAAAAAGCAGCAGCUAUUGCUUGCAGGAAUUAACAUGGGGGGGAGAGAGAGAGAGAGAGCAAAGUGAUGUAAUGGUGCAUUCUCAGCAGUCUGUUGGAGAUGGAUGGACAAGGUGCCUGUGAUGAAUCCUCUUGUCAUGGCAGAGGUUUUGGAAAAGCGCUUUGCCGCCUGAUUGCCUGCUUCUUUGCUCGCCGCUCUCCAGACAGUCGCAGAAUCUACAAACGGCACCUUCAGACGCUGCACACAGCAAUUUGUAUGUCUGAGGGACUUUUCGUGGAGGAACCUGCAAGAGCAGGUGAUUGCACUGGUGUCCUGGGGGAAUUCAGCUGUCAUGCAGUUUUUCUAAUAAUUCCGAAACAGUUACACAGUAAGUCUAUCAUGUCGGAACAUCAGAGGCUGAUUGCAACUUCUGUCUUCAGCUUCCCACCUGCACCCAUUUUCUGCAUCGGAGUUUGACAACAGGCCGCUGGAAGAGCUAUUAACUUUUUAAACCCUGUGUAUGUUUUUUCGCUCCUGGAUCCAAAGGCUUGUCAGCCACCUGGGUUUUAAAAUAAAAAUAGGCCAUUUUAAUCCUACGGGGCAAAAGCAUUCUCUGCGAUUCUGAGAUAUAAAUACCAGACUGCGACGAGAGGGCUUUUAUCUGAAAGAAUUAUGUAUGUUUAAAAUGCCUUUCAAAGAGUGGCGAUGGGGCGUGUAACCCUUUCUGAGCUGAUCGACUCGCACUAAAUUGCUCUGCGAUGAUGAGCAAGAGGGAAUCUCGCAUUCACCAGAUGUUAGCAUGCACUUCAAGGGCAUCCUGUUCCUGAAGGAAUGGGGGUAGGGGAGAGACCGUGGGGUGUUGGCAUGAGGGGUUGUGGGGGAGGUGAGGAGUAGGAGGUUUGCAGGAGGAAUGCAUAUCAUAUUGAUAAGGAGAAACAGCUCCAGCUGAAAAGCAAUGAGACUCAUGCAAAGCUAUUGCAGUACAGUACGCCUGGUGGCAUAAACAUCUCUGCUGACAAGAGGCCAGUCUUUUUUCACCUCACGGUCACAUCGCUGUCUUCCAAUUUAUCAAGACCUUAGGCUGUCUUACAGUUAUCCUGAUGGGAUUUCCUGAAAAAUCAAUGGUCAGCUUAUUUGGUGAGAGUGCCUCACGAGUAUUGCUGUAGCCAAAGAAGAGUGAAAGAAAUGACAAAUUGACAGGCCUUCAGCUCAGACAGACUCACGUUGAGCAUUGGUUGGUUGCUUAUCUUUUGAGCUGGAAGCUUCUUAGACAAAACAUCACUGUGGUAUCCUUUUCAAAAGAGAGAUGUGAGGUUGCCUGAAUAUGGACUUCUUCAAGGCCAUUCGAUGGACUAGUUGUCCAGAGUGGGACAUGAUGGAGGAAAUGUCCUUUUUCUCCUGAGCUGGAGAACUCCACCAGAUUGCACAAGACACCAGAGUUGCAGCUCCUUGACAUCUGGAG